rnacentral:rRNA from 1 species
GAUGAACGCUAGCGGCAGGCCUAAUACAUGCAAGUCGAACGGCAGCACGGGUAGCAAUACCUGGUGGCGAGUGGCGCACGGGUGCGUAACGCGUAUGUAACCUACCUUUAACUGGAGAAUAGCCCCGAGAAAUCGGGAUUAAUACUCCAUAACAUUAAGAUGUGGCAUCACAUUUUAAUCAAAGCUCCGACGGUUAAAGAUGGGCAUGCGUGACAUUAGCUAGUUGGUGAGGUAACGGCUCACCAAGGCUACGAUGUCUAGGGGUUCUGAGAGGACAUUCCCCCACACUGGUACUGAGACACGGACCAGACUCCUACGGGAGGCAGCAGUAAGGAAUAUUGGUCAAUGGACGCAAGUCUGAACCAGCCAUGCCGCGUGCAGGAUGACGGCCCUAUGGGUUUAAAGCUCUGUCGGGUAGGAAGAUAAAUGAACGGUACUACCCCGAGGAAGCCCCGGGCUAAACUACGUGCCAGCCAAGCCCGCGGUAAAGCUACGUAGA